rnacentral:rRNA from 1 species
AUUGAACGCUGGCGGCAUGCCUUACACAUGCAAGUCGAACGGUAACAGGUCUUCGGAUGCUGACGAGUGGCGAACGGGUGAGUAAUACAUCGGAACGUGCCCAGACGUGGGGGAUAACGAGGCGAAAGCUUUGCUAAUACCGCAUACGAUCUAAGGAUGAAAGCCGGGGACCGCAAGGCCUUGCGCGUUUGGAGCGGCCGAUGGCAGAUUAGGUAGUUGGUGGGAUAAAAGCUUACCAAGCCGACGAUCUGUAGCUGGUCUGAGAGGACGACCAGCCACACUGGGACUGAGACACGGCCCAGACUCCUACGGGAGGCAGCAGUGGGGAAUGUUGGACAAUGGGCGAAAGCCUGAUCCAGCAAUGCCGCGUGCAGGAUGAAGGCCUUCGGGUUGUAAACUGCUUUUGUACGGAACGAAAAGGCUCUGGCUAAUACCUGGGGCACAUGACGGUACCGGAAGAAUAAGCACCGGCUAACUACGUG